UGCUCGGGUUCGCAAAUUUCAACUUCGUUGAAUUUCGCGAACUAUGGAGACAAUGUCUAAAAUUUCGCGGUAUCUGAGGAUUUUCCCAACCCGGAAUCGUUCACUUUGUUCCGUUCCGUGGAAGAGGCAAAAGCGGUCAAUUUUGUUCCGUGCCGUAGUGUGUUUUGUAAGUCGAGCAUAAGUUAGAAAAGCUCAAUUCAGUCAGUUGAUUGUAUAUUGUGUGUGCGUAGAUCCAUAUUAAGAAAGGUCCGUGGCAGCAUUAAAUUGGCGAAGCCGACACACUACACCAAUCCGAUAAGACCGUCUUUGACCCCACGCAUCGGCUACAAAAAUUCCCGGGGUACACUUGGCCGGAGAAGGUUGCGUACCAUCAAAAGCGCACCUUUGGCAGGCGAAGCCAACCCACCGCAAACAGCAUCCAAUCAAUUUCCAACGUUUUCCAACCGCAUAGCAGCAGAUCGCCGUUGUCGUCGUCAUCAUCGCACUACCGACGGCGCCUCAACAAUCUGCUUUGCGCGCCAGGACGGACGCUUGUACCGCGCCCAUGCGUAAGCCCGCGCACCGAAGGAAGUGAGUGACCGUACAACAUCGACGCAAUACGCCGUCCGUCGGCGUGAGUUUCUGGACCGGAGUAGUGCGCAAUGCAGCUCCGGCCCCAUUCGUAGGUCCACUCCAAACACGCCAAGCAAAACCGUGAGUAAUAUGCAUGCAUAAUUGUUUGUGUCGUCCAUGGCCAUGUGACC